GAUGAAGAACGCAGCGAAAUGCGAUACGUAAUGUGAAUUGCAGAAUUCAGUGAAUCAUCGAAUCUUUGAACGCACAUUGCGCCUGCCAGCACUCUGGCAGGCAUGCCUGUUCGAGCGUCAUUUCAACCAUCAAGCCCUAGGCUUGCGUUGGAGCCCUGCGGCUGCCGCAGGCCCCUAAAAGCAGUGGCGGGCUCGCUAUCACACCGAGUGCAGUAGAUUACUCUUCGCUCAGGGCGUGUGGCGGGUUCCAGCCGUGAAACCCCCUACUUCUCAAGGUUGACCUCGGAUCAGGUAGGAAUACCCGCUGAACUUAAACAUAUCAAUAAGCGGAGGA
rnacentral:misc_RNA from 1 species